rnacentral:rRNA from 1 species
UACGUAGGGUGCGAGCGUUAAUCGGAAUUACUGGGCGUAAAGCGCGCGUAGGCGGCUUUUCAAGUCGGAUGUGAAAUCCCCGGGCUUAACCUGGGAACUGCAUUCGAGACUGUCUAGCUAGAGUAUGGGAGAGGGAAGUGGAAUUUCAGGUGUAGCGGUGAAAUGCGUAGAUAUCUGAAGGAACAUCAGUGGCGAAAGCGACUUCCUGGACCAAUACUGACGCUCAUGUGCGAAAGCGUGGGGAGCAAACAGG